rnacentral:rRNA from 1 species
UACGGAGGGUGCAAACGUUGCUCGGAAUCAUUGGGCGUAAAGCGCACGUAGGCGGUCCGGUAAGUCGGGUGUGAAAUCCCUCGGCUCAACCGAGGAAGUGCAUUCGAAACUUCCGGACUUGAAUACGGAAGAGGGUCGCGGAAUUCCCGGUGUAGAGGUGAAAUUCGUAGAUAUCGGGAGGAACACCAGUGGCGAAGGCGGCGACCUGGGCCAAUAUUGACGCUGAGGUGCGAAAGCGUGGGGAGCAAACAGG